rnacentral:rRNA from 1 species
GGGGGGGGGGGGGGGGGGGGGGGGGGGGUGGGGGGCGGGGGGGGGGGGCGGGCUUGGGUGGGGUGGGCGGGGGGCGGACGGGGGCGUCGCAGGGGGGUGAGCUGCCCUUGCCUUUGUGCUCCCUUCAGUACGCUGGUGCUACUACGGGCUACUAGCGCCGGCGGCAUGGUGGGGUGUUAACAGUUUCGGCGGUUCGGGAUGGACGCGCGGCUUAUCAGCUUGUGGGUGGGGUAGGGGCUUACCACGGCUGUGACGGGUAUCCGGCCUGAGAGGGUGACCGGACACAUUGGGAAUGAGAUACGGCCCAGACGCAUACGGGAGGCAGCAGUGGGGAAUAUUGCACAAUGGGCGGAAGCCUGAUGCAGCAACGCCGCGUGCGGGAUGAAGGCCUUCGGGUUGUAAACCGCUUUCGCCUGUGACGAAGCGUGAGUGGCGGUAAUGGGUAAAGAAGCACCGGCUAACUACGUG